rnacentral:rRNA from 1 species
AUUGAACGCUGGCGGCAGGCCUAACACAUGCAAGUCGAACGGUAACAGGAAACAGCUUGCUGUUUCGCUGACGAGUGGCGGACGGGUGAGUAAUGUCUGGGAAACUGCCUGAUGGAGGGGGAUAACUACUGGAAACGGUAGCUAAUACCGCAUAACGUCGCAAGACCAAAGAGGGGGACCUUCGGGCCUCUUGCCAUCGGAUGUGCCCAGAUGGGAUUAGCUAGUAGGGGGGGUAACGGCUCACCUAGGCGACGAUCCCUAGAUGGUCUGAGAGGAUGACCAGCCGCACUGGAGCUGAGACACGGUCCAGACUCUUGAGGGAGGCAGCAGUGGGGAAUAUUGCACAAUGGGCGCAAGCCUGAUGCAGCCAUGCCGCGUGUAUGAAGAAGGCCUUCGGGUUGUAAAGUACUUUCAGCGGGGAUGAAGGGAGUAAAGUUAAUACCUUUGCUCAUUGACGUUACCCGCAGAAGAAGCACCGGCUAACUCCGUG